GAUGAACGCUGGCGGCGUGCCUAAUACAUGCAAGUCGAGCGAACGGACGAGAAGCUUGCUUCUCUGAUGUUAGCGGCGGACGGGUGAGUAACACGUGGAUAACCUACCUAUAAGACUGGGAUAACUUCGGGAAACCGGAGCUAAUCCCGGAUAAUAUUUUGAACCGCAUGGUUCAAAAGUGAAAGACGGUCUUGCUGUCACUUAUAGAUGGAUCUGCGCUGCAUUAGCUAGUUGGUAAGGUAACGGCUUACCAAGGCAACUAUGCAUAGCCGACCUGAGAGGGUGAUCGGCCACACUGGAACUGGAACACGGUCCUGACUCCUACGGGAGGCAGCAGUAGGGAAUGUGACGCAAUGGGCGAAAGCCUGACGGAGCAACGCCGCGUGAGUGAUGGAGGUCUUCGGAUCGUAAAACUCUGUUAUUAGGGAAGAACAUAUUUGUAAGUAACUGUGCACAUCUUGACGGUACCUAAUCAGAAAGCCACGGCUAACUACGUG
rnacentral:rRNA from 1 species